rnacentral:rRNA from 1 species
UACGGAGGGGGCGAGUGUUGUUCGGAAUUACUGGGCGUAAAGGGCGCGCAGGCGGCCUGGCAAGUCGCGUGUGAAAUCCCCCGGCUUAACUGGGGAAUGGCGCUCGAAACUACCGCGCUGGAGGGCGGGAGAGGGAAGUGGAACUCUCGGUGUAGGGGUGAAAUCUGUAGAUAUCGAGAGGAACACCGGUGGCGAAGGCGGCUUCCUGGCCCGUACCUGACGCUGAGGCGCGAAAGCGUGGGGAGCAAACAGG